rnacentral:sRNA from 1 species
ACAUAAAUGAGCGGUGGCUGCUUCGGGCCGAGCUGUACGUCCACGACUUCGCCGAUAAGGAUGAGAUGUGUGGCCACUUCCUUGACUUCGAUCAGGCGGCAGUCGAAGGCAGCGAUCGCCUCGACGAGGAUGGGCGCACCGGUCGUGCGCUGCGUCCACCGGCCCAAGGCAAAACGCCGUUCCAUGUCGAGCUGGUCGCGGCCCGAAAAGGCGUGAGCCAGGGCGUGAUGCUGGGCGCCAAGCAGGUUCAGCGCGAAGCUGCCGCCACGCGAAAAGAUGUCGUUGCGCCGGUUGGCUGCGUUGAGGCAAGCGAGCACGGUCGGCGGAUCGUCGGAUACCGAGCAGGACGCGGUGAUCGUCACGCCGCGCCGCUCCUUGCCAUCGGCCGCCGUGAUCAGCUGCACAUGCGACGACAUGCGGCUCAUCGCAUCACGGUAGG